ACACCCCGAUCGUGUUUCUCCGACAAACACCGCCUGAGACACCGAGGAAGAAGACGACUUUGCCAUCAAUUGAACGGAAGAUUGAAUCCGUUCACCAGUCUCGUCUCUCACCGAAAAAGUUCCUCCUUUCUCUUUGUUUAGCUCUACAUUUAGUAACUUGUUUCUUCCUCUGAAUCAAUCCCUUCCACUUUGAGAUAGAUAGCAGGGAAUUAGAAAAAUCUGUGCUGUGAGCUUUGGGAUUUGAAGGAUGCUGUGAAGUAUAUGUGUGGUGAUAUGCGUACCAAGUACCUCGCUUUCUUGAGAAUAUCUGAAUGGAGCACGAGUUGGUUGAGCUACGGAAGCAAGCAUUUGUUAGUUAAUAACCUUGUUACACAACUCUCCCCAUCAAAACUGAAAACCGCAGGAGCACCUGUGCACCGUUGCGUCCCAGCAUGCUGGAGAGUUUCUCUUGACUUUUCCUCGGGCAUAUCAUGCUUGAUUUAACUGUGCUGAAGCUGUGAAUGUACUGGCUGCCUCAUUGGCAAAUUGCUAUAGAGUUAUACUGCCCACAGGGUAGAAAAACGUCCAUCUCGCAUGAUAAAUUGUUGCUUGGGAAGCAAGAGAAGUAGUGAAAGCAGACGACUGGCAAAAAUACAAUAGACAACUUGAGGUGGAAAGAGUUUAGUGGAAAGGAUGGGAUUUUGGAAAGACACUCAAAGGCACGCAUUGAUAUGGAACGUACACGAAGAGAGCUUCUGUGCAGCUCUUCACUUUCAUCGAAGAUACAUAGUAAUUUUGAUGUUAUUGUUAAAACACGUUUUACGUGUUGGUCGGCAUGGACGGUGACGACAUGGACGGUGACGAUAUGGACGGUGUGUUGAAAUUGUUUACGUUGGUUUUGUCAAAGAUUGUGAGCUCACCAAACACCUUCUUCAUGCUUAUAAAAGGAGAGCUGAGGUGAAGAAGAAAGGCAUCCCAAAAACAAGAAAACAAAGAUAGAACGAGAGAAGAGAAAACAGUUCAACAUCACUCUAUUAGUAUUGACGUCUGUUUUGAAAGUCCAAAGUACAUUGAACUGAAAGAGAUUAUAAAAAAAUCAACUCUGAUAAUACUCUUUUUUCUAAUUUUAGCUCUUAAAGUUAUAUUUUAGCACUAA